AUUGAACGCUGGCGGCAGGCCUAACACAUGCAAGUCGAGCGAGCGGCGGACGGGUGAGUAAUGUAUGGGGAUCUGCCUGAUGGAGGGGGAUAACUACUGGAAACGGUAGCUAAUACCGCAUACCAUCAGAUGAACCCAUAUGGGAUUAGCUUGUAGGUGAGGUAACGGCUCACCUAGGCGACGAUCCCUAGCUGGUCUGAGAGGAUGAUCAGCCAAACGGGGACUGAGACACGGCGCAGACUCCUACGUGAGGAAGCAGUGGGGAAUAUUGCACAAUGGGCGCAAGCCUGAUGCAGCCAUGUCGCGUGUAUGAAGAAGGCGUUAGGGUGGUAAAGUACUAUGAGGGGGGAGGCGGUACCGGCAGAAGAAGCACCGACUAACUACGUGCCAGCAGCCGCGGUAAUAC
rnacentral:rRNA from 1 species